AUUGAACGCUGGCGGCAGGCCUAACACAUGCAAGUCGAACGAGUGGCGGACGGGUGAGUAAUGUCUGGGAAACUGACUGCUGGAGGGGGAUAACUACUGGAAACGGUAGCUAAUACCGCAUAACAUCAGAUGUUCCCAGAUGGGAUUAGCUAGUUGGUGGGUGAACGGCUCACCAAGGCGACGAUCACUAGCUGGUCUGAGAGGAUGACCAGCCAAACUGGAGCUGAUACACGGUCCAGACUCCUACGGGAGGCGGCAGUGUGGAAUAUUGCACAAUGGGCGCAAGCCUGAUGCAGCCAUGCCGCGUGUAUGAAGAAGGCCUUCGGGUUGUAAAGUCCUUUCAGCGGGGAGGCGUUACCCGCAGAGGAAGCACCGGCUAACUCCGUGCCAGCAGCCGCGGUAAUUC
rnacentral:rRNA from 1 species